rnacentral:rRNA from 1 species
GUAGUCCACGCCGUAAACGAUGUCGAUUUGGAGGUUGUGCCCUUGAGGCGUGGCUUCCGGAGCUAACGCGUUAAAUCGACCGCCUGGGGAGUACGGCCGCAAGGUUAAAACUCAAAUGAAUUGACGGGGGCCCGCACAAGCGGUGGAGCAUGUGGUUUAAUUCGAUGCAACGCGAAGAACCUUACCUGGUCUUGACAUCCACAGAACUUUCCAGAGAUGGAUUGGUGCCUUCGGGAACUGUGAGACAGGUGCUGCAUGGCCGCCGUCAG